UAGCUAGUUGGUGAGGUAAAGGCUUACCAAGGCGACGAUCUGUAGCGGGUCUGAGAGGAUGAUCCGCCACACUGGAACUGAGACACGGUCCAGACUCCUACGGGAGGCAGCAGUGGGGAAUUUUGGACAAUGGGGGCAACCCUGAUCCAGCCAUGCCGCGUGAGUGAAGAAGGCCUUCGGGUUGUAAAGCUCUUUCGGCCGGGAAGAAAUCGCAUGGGCCAAUACCCUGUGUGGAUGACGGUACCGGAAUAAGAAGCACCGGCUAACUACGUGCCAGCAGCCGCGGUAAUACGUAGGGUGCGAGCGUUAAUCGGAAUUACUGGGCGUAAAGCGUGCGCAGGCGGUUUUGUAAGACAGGCGUGAAAUCCCCGGGCUUAACCUGGGAACUGCGUUUGUGACUGCAAGGCUAGAGUACGGCAGAGGGGGGUGGAAUUCCACGUGUAGCAGUGAAAUGCGUAGAGAUGUGGAGGAACACCAAUGGCGAAGGCAGCCCCCUGGGUCGAUACUGACGCUCAUGCACGAAAGCGUGGGUAGCAAACAGGAUUAGAUACCCUGGUAGUCCACGCCCUAAACUAUGUCAACUAGGUGUUGGGUGGGUAAAACCAUUUAGUACCGUAGCUAACGCGUGAAGUUGACCGCCUGGGGAGUACGGCCGCAAGGUUAAAACUCAAAGGAAUUGACGGGGACCCGCACAAGCGGUGGAUGAUGUGGAUUAAUUCGAUGCAACGCGAAAAACCUUACCUACCCUUGACAUGCCAGCAACUUGCCAGAGAUGGCUUGGUGCCCGAAAGGGAGCCUGGACACAGGUGCUGCAUGGCUGUCGUCAGCUCGUGUCGUGAGAUGUUGGGUUAAGUCCCGCAACGAGCGCAACCCUUGUCGUUAAUUGCCAUCAUUUAGUUGGGCACUUUAACGAGACUGCCGGUGACAAACCGGAGGAAGGUGGGGAUGACGUCAAGUCCUCAUGGCCCUUAUGGGUAGGGCUUCACACGUCAUACAAUGGUCAGUACAAAGGGUUGCCAAGCCGCGAGGCGGAGCCAAUCCCAGAAAGCCGAUCGUAGUCCGGAUUGCAGGCUGCAACUCGCCUGCAUGAAGUCGGAAUCGCUAGUAAUCGUGGAUCAGCAUGUCACGGUGAAUACGUUCCCGGGUCUUGUACACACCGCCCGUCACACCAUGGGAGCGGGUUCCGCCAGAAGUAGGUAGCCUAACCGCAAGGGGGGCGCUUACCACGGCGGGGUUCGUGACUGGGGUGAAGUCGGAACAAGGUAGCCGUAGGGGAACCUGCGGCUG
rnacentral:rRNA from 1 species